AUGUCUUUUGGAUUUUCCGUGAGAGUGCUGGUGCUCUCCCUUUUGGCAUUUGGGCACAAUACAAAUGCACUCUACAGAAGUGGAGGCCCCAGUGGUACUAGGCCUCUCUUUGCUCAUCCACGAAGCCACAACCCUGAUUUUGUGUCAACUUAUGAGCGUUCUGUGCAGCCUGGAGGGUUUCUGGGUAGUUCUGGAUCCAGUCACGGUGGAAGUGGGCAAGUAGAUGGUUACAGUCCAUAUGGAAGUGUUUCUAGUUACGUGCCUGAACCACAGAUCCUUAGGAAACAAAACUCUCAGCAGCCGCCUAAAACUAACCCCAAUGCAAAUGGUAGAUUCUCGACCAAAGGUGGCAACUGGGAUUUGGCCCCUCAAAAUGGAAAAAGUAUUAAGUCAGGUAUUGCUUCAAGUAGUGCAAUUAUUAUGCAAUCUGGUUCAGAGCCACACACUUUCAAUCCGGGCUACCUGCCAAAGCAGCCCAGGCCCCAGGAAGUGCCUACUUCCAAUACAGGCUACCCGCAGAAGCCGCCCAGGCCCCAGCAGCUGCCUAUUUUCAAUAUGGGCUACCUGCAGAAGCCGCCCCAGCAGCUGCCCACUUCCAAUACAGGCUACCUGCAGAAGCCGGCCCAGGAGCUGCCUACUUCCAAUAAAGGCUACCUGCAGAUACCACCCAGGCCCCAGGCGCUCUCCUCUUUUAACACAGGCUACCAGUCCAAGCCCCAGCAGUCCCACACUUUCAAUCCAGGCAAUGUGCAGAAGCCUCCCAGGAGCCAGCAGGCCCACGCUUUUAAUUCAGUCUACCAGCCCCAGAAAGCCGUGUUGCAAACCAAAGCUGGCAUGUGGGACUUGUUUUCAGAUCCUACCAAAUCAAAUGUUGAUUCAAGAAAUUCAAAACCAAUUUCAAUCGAAUCUCCGUGCCAUUCCAGAAGGCAGCGUCCACUGGUGCCGAUGUAAAACAUUUCCCUCACAGUUCCUGGCAUUACGUUUUUUGGGGGGAAAAAACAAUAAAUUACUUUGAACUGAAUUGUCUGCAAUGGUCAUUUGAAACCAGAAAAUGUAUGGUUGCAACUAUACCCACUGAUUUCUCUGGUAUAAUACCAUAACUGUAGUUUAUAAAAUUGCUUCAUACAAAUUAAAUUCCUGAAGUGAAUGAGAUUGAGCUUAAAUCUGACCUAGUUUCUUACUGAAGAAUCUUGGCCACUUUGAUGGUUUUAAAAUCUGUAAGCCCAGUAGUUACUGGCGGACAAUACAAACUGAACCCUUGUUCUCUUUAGCUCAGUAGCUAGGCUGAGUCACAGCUCUAUUGAAUGUACUUCUAAAACUGUAGGGCGCAACCCUCUAACUGGUAUACAGCCCAUUUUUAAUGCUUUGUAGCAGCAAGCAGGCUUAUGGCAGCCAGUAAUUCAGAUAAAAUAUCCUUCCAUUGAGGGCCUAUAUCUCCACUAUUGUUUAGCACAAGUUGCACAUUGUGUUUAAAAGAUGCAGGGUAAAACGCUGCCAAAAUGGUUAUCACAUUUUGCUGUUUAUCUUGUCAGUGCAAAUGGGUUAAUUAAAGCAAAUGUUUCUUCUGAACUAAAGCAAUAACGCUAUGUUGAGGAAAUGAGCAACUGUUCUGUUCUUCGUACAGCGUUUCUCUAACAUGUUGACUUUACAAAAAUGUUCCUUCUAAAAAUCCCCAAUGAUUCACAAUUGAGCAAACUGAUCACAACCCAACCUUUCUACCAUGAGAGUUCAAUGAAACACAGAUUUUCAGCUGGGUGUUAAAGGAAUGUUUGGAAAUGCUCAUGUUUUGGCAGUACUGUUAGUCCAGCAAUAAGAUCUCACGUCUGAAACAUUCUUUUUUAACGUAACAGCGCUCACUAUGUUCAAAAAGAAACUUAAUUUUCUCCAUAUCCACAAUAACUUGUGUUCCGUUACAUCAGAUAAUUUUUACUCAUAUUGGGGAAAACUUUUGUAAUUCCCUGCCCAGGGAAAAUACAUCGAGACUAAGGUGCGAAUUGAAAUGGAGAUUACUGUGUCGCUGUUAAAUUAAUAGACUAACAAAAGGUUUGCAGUUUUUAUCACGUUACCCAAUCGAGAGCCUACAUUCAUGAAUGUCUUUUAGAGAGGUACUUAUUAAAACUCAUAUUUUCAUUCUGUAUGCUGUGAUUGUAUUGUUAGAAACUGGGGUGUUUCCGAUAUUUAGUUUAUUCUUAUCGAUAUAAAGGGUCCGUAUUUACUUUUUUAACCGCAUUGCUAAUGUGCAAAUCUCAAUUGUAGCUAACAGGCCCUUUCUUUCUAUGCAUAGGCUUCAUGGUGCAGAAACUUCCUAUGUCCCCUUGAAGGUGGACUGAAAAUGGCGUCCUCAAGGGGGUUGUUUAAUGCUGCUGCUGUUUUGCAUGACGUGAUGGUUAUUUAGUAACUCAGUGUCAAAUAAACUGUAGAUCAAAGCAUGCUUACGGCUAGGCUUACUAUGAUAGAUAGGUCUCUGCAGCUGCCAGAACCAUAUACAUGGGGCCUCUACGUUCCUUUGUCCCAUUCCAAAUAUCGUUACGUUAGUUCGCCAAAGAUCGCAACGACAAAAUUGCAGAACACAAACAGUCCUCACACCAAUGGGUGACGUUACGAUACCUCUAAUACGUACCCUUCUUAAAUACCCUCCAUCACUCUGAUAGAGCCUUCAGACCAGGGCUGAGCUGAAUACAUAUCCGUCGAAAAAUGUUCAAAGAAUUUAGUCAACAUAUUAUACUGCAACGAGGACGCCUCCAACUGUAAAGCUAUGGGACGAGCUGCACUCUAUUGGAGGAGGUGACAGUUAGAUUUGUGUGAAUAGUAAGCCACACAAGGGUUUGGGUUCAUGCCCUAUCAGAACGUUUUUUAGUGAAUUCCGUCUCUGAAGAACAGUAGCACAAAGACGCUUUGUGAAGAGGAUACCACCACAUCAGCAGAGCAGCAACGUGUUGCAAAGAAUAUUUUCUUGAAAUAUCAUGACCCUUAUUUCACCCUAAACUCAACCCAAAACCCCAAAAGCCUCUUAAUUCCCAAAAUAGUAACAAUGUAUUCGUUAGACUAGGAGCACGUAUGAUUUAUGGGGUUUUCUGAAGAGAAGGAAGUUGUGAAUCCAAGCAGAAAUCCUCCUUAUAGAACUGUGGGAUUUAAAAGUCAAGGGAUUUAAAAAUUCAACAUGCUAGGGCAAAUUUUAUAUUUUGUAUUGUCAUCUGGCACCUGAAUUUGUGUUUUCUUUUCCACAAACAAAUAUAUUUAUACACAAGUUGGUGCAGAAAAAACUCUAGGGUUACCCUAGGGUUAACGAAAUAAAGUCCUUGACUCGCCAUCUUUUAUAUGGAGUAAAUGUUCGUAGGCUUUUCCUGCCAGAGGCUGAUGUGGGAUACCCUCCGGUCUGGGACGUCAGGCGCAUCUGCUGACGAGGCUGUUGAAUUGAUCAGGGACCAAUUUGCUGCCUGAUCUUCCAUUGAGGCAGGUGACCUUCCAACCGGCGCACUUCCAGAGUGGGCGUGAGAAUCCGGUGCAGUCUAAAGAUGAAUUGCAGUCAUCAUCCUACCAAGGUUGCGUUGGAUGACCUCCCAACGACGUAGUAAUCAUGGAGGAUUGGUUCUGAUUAGCUGGCCCAUACAAAAAGUUUUAAACUGAUGAAUACACCUUUUAUUUAUUUGUCUGAAUUACACCGCACCACAUUUUUCUCUUGCUGUAAACUCGCAGCAGGCCUUUUAUCUUUUACUGAAAAAAAGGAGACAACUUUCCCUGACUCAUUGUUCAAGCCUUUCAGUGCAUGUAUGGAAGUAAAUAUGGGGCUUCGUUGAGUGUUUUAACUUUAACUUCAUGCCAUCAGUGUGGUUUGUGUCUGUAAGAUUCAGUAAUAGACAGCUGAUGCUGGGAUGCUUCAACGAGCUAUUAGGAGUGAUUGGCGGAGUUUUGAAAGUUUUGAAAGUUUUUGAAGUUAAAGUUAAAACACUCAACGAAGCUCCAUUAUUAAUGGACAUGGCUGAAAUUCGGUCAUCAUAGUCGACAAGCCGAAGUUGUAUUGGGGCGCUCGCUCCUUUUGCUUGACGUACGCUCCCGAUCUUGAAUCUAGAAUCGAUUGCUCUUCCUUGGGUUCCCGGAUGUUGCGGUUCGAAUUUUUUUGCAUUGAAUGUUUGCAUUGAUUUUUUUUGCAUUGAAUUUUUGCAUUGAAUUUUUUUGUAUUGAAUUUUUGCAUUGAAUUUUUUGCGGUUGAAUUAUUUGCGGUUGAAUUUUUUGCAGUUGAAUAUUUUAACGUUGAAAAACAUUCAGAUACAUGAUUUCAAUGCAUAAAUAUUCAGUGCUAGAAAUUUAGUCACCUUUUUCUUUCAAAAUCCGAUGACACAGAUGUAUGUGCAUAUUUUUGAACAUGUUACAUUGUUGUGGGAGCAGCACAUGUCACCUGUUUGGAAUCUUUGCACUAAGAUCAACAGUGGGAAUCUCCUUUACACACAUGGAGAGAUACGUACUCUGGGUUGUGACUGUAUUCAUGCCUACAUUUAUGUCUAUGCAUGAGUAUCUUUGUGACCAAUAUUAUUUUUAAGUAGAGCAUAUAAUAAGAGAUGAAACCUUUUAAAACAGUUAGAUGGCCGACAUGAUGGCCAAGCAGAAGGAGCACACGUUUCUGCAAUAUUUAUUAAUAUUGAUGCAUACAGACAUAUUUGCACACGGUUAGAAAUGUGCUCAUAAAGCGACAGUUGUGAAAAUUAAACCGCAGACCAAAGCGUUGUGGAAAACCAGAGUCUGAUCAAUGUGAGGCCCCCUUCAAUAAUUACCUCUGUGACAUGCAGAGGUGUAUGCACAUUUCCAUUCCAAUACGACCUUUUUCAGUUUUCGGGCAUUAGAAACAGGAAACUGUAUGUCUGACAAGAGGAAAAUGGCACAGCUAUUUUUGGCCACAUUCCUCUGUCAAUUUCCUGUUGCUGAGUGCAUCCUUGAUUGAGUGAUGAAGCCGGUAAUUGCAGGUCAGAGUGUGUUACGGUGAAAGAGGUCCUUGUGGUGGAUCCGGUUGUGGCAGAGUUAAAAAAAGAGGAGGAGAAAACAUCUUUUAACUCUCAGUGAUCUUCUAAAGUCUGUGCAGUGCUCAUGAUGAAAAGGAAUGAGGCAUGAACACAAAAGUUUCAGGAAAUAGCUUUGGUAGUCCGACACAAUUAGGACGAUCCACUGUGGUGGCGAUUGCAGUCUUUGUGUAAUCUUUACCCACUGCACUUUCUCUCACAUUUCUUUCACAUUUUCUUACACAUCUCCUCGAUGCGGUUAACACAUGUUAACAAGAGCAAGCAUCUGUCCCAGUGAGCUUAAACCGCUGAGAUGCUUAUACAUCAUUACUGCUCUUUAAAACUCUGUUUGCUAUUGUAUUUUAAAUAUUAGUGAGCUAGUGGCAACCCAUCAUUUUACACCUCUGAUUGGAUAUAAAUGAAUGGAAGCCGUCGCCUGGCUGAGCAUGCAAGUCUUUCCUGACUUUCAAACAGUUUAAUUAACAAACCGAUGACGACUCUAUACUUUUGAUGUAGAAAUUAUACUGAUUCAUGACAUUUUGCUGUGUAAGGACACUUUGAGGAUGGAGAUAUUCAGUACAAGUGCUAGGCAUUUAAUAAAGUGUGAUUUAAGUGAUUGAUAUUGAUUU
ensembl:lncRNA